AACAUGACAGCAUUUGUGACAUCACAAAGAUUCUGGCACAAACAAGUUGUUAUAAAAUCAUCACUUUUUGGUGAUUAUGAUGUAUUAUAUGUGCAAUAUCCAGGUCUUCCUCCCUCUCCACCUUCAGCAGCUUCAGACAUUGAUACCAUAAGUAGCCAACCAUAUCCUGGUGAUAAUAACGGAAGGACCAUACAGCCUCUUGGAGUUGAUGUGAGGGGGCAACAGCACAAAAGUGGGCCAAGUCGGAGUGUCA
rnacentral:misc_RNA from 1 species